CAACUUCGUCUUUUCUCAUUGGACCUUGAGAACAAUGCAGAGAUUGCAUUGUCCCCCAUGUCAGAGCCAGGAGAUCAGGGGUGCAGACGUGUGAAGUGACCCAUCCUAGAUCCCACCGCUGUUCGCAUUCUCAAGUUUGAGCUUAGAUCCUCUGCUUCCAAGGUUGGUGGAGUUUUCUCACUGGCUUCACGUACUGGUGUUGGUGGAUAAUAGCGUGAUUAAUUUCACUUUCUGUGUCUUACUCCAUGAGCCCUAAUGCUUCUGCUGAGAUUCCUAAUUCAGUGAAACCUGUUUAGGGGAUCAUCUCUGUUAGGCAGACAGCUGCUGAAAAGGCAUUCACUUUCCAAGCAUGGAUUUUAGAUUAUGGCCAAUCAAGACUCCGGCCUGGAAGAACACCUGUCAGAGACGUUUUUCUACAAGGAGAUGGUCUCUUUAAUCAUAUUUCAUUGUACUUCAGAAAAAGGUUCGUUUUAAAAUGUGAGUAAAAUUGCAUCUGCUUUUAUAAUUCAUCCUUUUCAGCUGAAACACCAAUUUAGAGCUUAUUUAUGACAUUGUUCUAUAGUGAAACGAGAAACUGCCACAAAGUGUUUAAAAAGGAAGGGCUUUCCCAGACAUCCGAUUUGUAAUUUUCUCUUGUGAAAAAAAUAUAAAAAAAAUUUUUUUUAACUUUUCUGUGUGAAUAUAAUUAGCGAUAGUAAUUCCUGUGAGCAAACUUUCAAAACAUUUAAGCUAAAUCGUGAAAACAUGUAAUGAAACCUGGGAAACUUUCCUAUGUUGAAAUAUGUUGCAUUUAUCUGUGAACAAUGCAAAGUAUUAUUGAUACUGAUUGGUGUUUAGAGAAACUACACUCGACUUUCAACUCGGCUGUAAUUACAGGCACCGUGACGUACAUAAAAUGCAGGUACUUACUCACAUCUGCAGACUCUAUUGAGUGUAACUAUUAGAAGACAAACUUCAUUUUGCAAACUGUAAUUUAAUGGUAUAACAGUGUGCAGACCAGAAUAUCAGUUAAUUUUCAAAACAUUUUAUUCUACACCAAUUAGCUCAGGUCCUGGAGGGCAAAAUGACAAGAGGUUACUCGUUCACUAUGUAUUUAAUUAAUUGAAAAAUGCUCAAAUUGCUUUUACAGUUGUUAUUAAAAAGUAGAAUCAGUGUUGCCAGUGCUCAACCAUAAUUGGAACCCCAGGGAAUUAAAUAUUUAGCAUUAGUAAUGUAACAGCACUUAGGACACAAAUUUCUAUUUUCGUAAUGAAAGCUAUACACUGUGAGUGCAAGCGGCUGAAACGACAGCUGUGACAAGUGAAAUGGCCUGGGAUAUUUCAAUAAGACACCUCAUUGGACAGCAAGUCUUACCACAUUACUAGUUUGUAAGAGAUCUGCAAGUUUAAUUCCCAAUAGAAACCCGUUACCCAAGUAUUUAGAUUUCUAAUUGCAUGCAGGAUGAACAAUUGGGCAAAUGUCUUGCCAUAAGUGGCUGAAAUGUAUAGUGCUUGCUAAAUAAUCCUAUAUAAGUUCAUGCCUUUGUCAAUUUAAAAAUAGCGGGACUGUCAGGGAAUAAAGAUCUUGUUUGUUUUAAGUUUAAUUACAUUUUAAGCAUAAAUGCUCUCAGUGCUACAGUGAGAAAAGUUGGAUAUUGGGCUCUAAUGAGCUGCAGGGGUAGACGGCUAGAGACCCUAAGGGAUUCACUCCAUAAAUUAACUGGAUAAAAGUACUUGGUUAGGAUAUAGUUGAUGGCUGAGCUGUUCUUAAAACCCAGCUAUAGAGCUGUCUCUCACUCCUGUUUUCAUUCUAAACAGGCCCUGUAGAGACUUAAGUAGCCUCCUGUUACAACUGUUCAACUUGUCAAAAUGUAUUAUAUUACUCCACUAAUAAAUAGUAUUAAAGGGUAUUUGACUUCAUUUCUCGUUUUCAGAGGGGAUCAGGUUGAUAAACACAACUGGCAUACAUUGGCCUUAUUUUAAUUUGUUUAUGUCACCUAAGUAAUAUUGAAGGUACACGGUUUGAAUUUGUAAACAUUACUUUCCUGGAGAUGUAAAACUUACAAAAUAUUAUGUACAAUGGAAGCAAUUAAUGAAGGCUAUUAGAGAAUUUUUAUCCUUGAAAGAUAUAUGAAUUUGACAUUUUUAGCUCUCAUUCAAAGUAUUAGAAAACCCCAUAGCUAAACUAACAUUCUUUGAAGCAUGACUAGACUAAUUAUUUUGCCAAUCAUUUUAUUUUUUUUUUUGGGAAAAAAAGUUACAGGAUACAUUGAUUUCAUAAUUUUCUUUUGCUUACCAUUGUCCCCGUAUCAGUUUUUGAGAAUUUAUUUAUCAUUUCUUUUCUAUUUUAUUUUUUGUAUUU
rnacentral:lncRNA from 10 species